GGAGAACUUGCCCUACGCUGGAGAAUAAUCUCGGGAAACUGAGGACAAUGCUCCAUAGCCUCGCCGUCCUGGAACGGUGGUGAGGUCAAAGCUCCGGCGGCGUAGGAUAGCUCUGCGGCCUAUCAGGUUGUAGCGAGGGUAACGUCCUCGCUAGCCUACGACGGGUAUGGGUGUUGGGAGACAUCGCCCAGAGAUGGAUUCUGAGACACGAAUCCAGGCCCUACGGGGCGCAGCAGGCGCGAAAACUGCACAAUGUGGGAAACCACGAUGCGGGAAACCCAAGUGCCAGCGCUAUGCGUUGGCUGUCCUCCAGUGUUCGUAACUGGGGAAGAAAGUGCUGGGUAAGACGGGUGCCAGCCGCCGCGGUAAUACCCGCAGCACAAGUGGUGGUCAUUAUUAUUGGGCCUAAAGCGUCCGUAGCUGGCUUGUUAGAUGCCUGGGUAAAUCGAUGCGCUCAACGUAUCGAACUCCGGGUAGACCGGCAAGCUUGGGACCGGGAGAGGCGUGAGCUACUCGAGGGGUAGGGGUAAAAUCCUGUAAUCCUUCGGGGAGGACCAGUGGCGAAGGCGUCACGCUAGAACGGCUCCGACAGUGAGGGACGAAGCCCUGGGGCGCAAACCGGAUUAGAUACCCGGGUAGUCCAGGGUGUAAACGCUGCAGACUUGGUGUCGGUGAUCCUACGAGGGUUGCCGGUGCCGUAGAGAAGUUGUUUAGUCUGCCGCCUGGGGAGUACGGUCGCAAGACUGAAACUUAA
rnacentral:rRNA from 1 species